UUCAGGAGGACCAUGAAAAGAUUCUAUUGGAGCAUGCUCAGCUGCUGACUAAGUACCAGCAGGUGCAGAAGCAACUUGAUGAAAUAUAGGCUGAAAACAGAGGCCUCAAACGACCAAAUGACUCCAAUUGUGAUCUAAGCAAAGGUGAUGAUGUACAGGCAAAAUGGGUUGAUGAAGAUGGAAAAGAAUCCUGGUUAUCAGCCACAGUGACAAAAGAG